UGGGGAAUAUUGGACAAUGGGGGCAACCCUGAUCCAGCCAUGCCGCGUGAGUGAUGAAGGCCUUAGGGUUGUAAAGCUCUUUCGCUAGGGAAGAUAAUGACGGUACCUAGAGAAGAAGCCCCGGCUAACUUCGUGCCAGCAGCCGCGGUAAUACGAAGGGGGCUAGCGUUGUUCGGAAUUACUGGGCGUAAAGCGCACGUAGGCGGACAUUUAAGUCAGGGGUGAAAUCCCAGGGCUCAACCCUGGAACUGCCUUUGAUACUGGGUGUCUUGAGUACGAGAGAGGUGAGUGGAAUUCCGAGUGUAGAGGUGAAAUUCGUAGAUAUUCGGAAGAACACCAGUGGCGAAGGCGGCUCACUGGCUCGUAACUGACGCUGAGGUGCGAAAGCGUGGGGAGCAAACA
rnacentral:rRNA from 2 species